rnacentral:lncRNA from 1 species
UUUAGUAGAGACAGGGUUUCUCCAUGUUGGUCAGGCUGGUCUCAAACUGACCUCAGGUGAUCCGCCCACCUCGGCCUCCCAAAGUGCUGGGAUUACAGGCAUGAGCCACCGCGCCUGGCCGGACAAUAAUGUUUUGAGCUGUUGCUGAGUCUGGCUUUUGUGACGGGAACUUUUAGCACUCAAGGAGUGGCCUUGUCUCUGGCCUGUCCCCGAGUGCUCAUGGGCAGCCAAGGCCUGGGGACUGCUCAGGCAGGGUAGAUGUAUUUGCCAGGCCAGCUCCCGUCCCUGGGACCUCAGGGAGUAGCUUCAUCCCUGAAGGCUGAGUGUCUUCUGCCUCAUGUGGGUGGCCCCUCUGCAGGGUUCUCAGGCAUCCAGGGAAGUGGGUGCCACAGCGUUGCCUCCAGCCUCACUGGGGCUGGCUGGACUUUGCUCUGACAACACAGCAGUGGCUGGGCCCCUGCAACUCUCCAGGGCUCAGUUUCCCUGUUGGCCGCACUAUGGCAUAGGCCCCUGUGUGGACACCGAUGAGCUGACCCCACAAAUGCCACCCGGCCGCUCCCCCAGGCUUCAGUGGCCUAACAGCUGUUGUGUCAGGAACCAGCUUAAAGAAUCUUUCUUGCUUUCUCAAACUCUCCAGGAAUUCCUGGUGACUGGAAGGGGGAGUGACUCAGGCCCUCAACCUCUAGCAGGUAAGGGAGCUACCUCCUGGGUGGGCAUGCCCAGUUCCUCAGUGGGCCCAGCGCGGCCCAGCCUCCGAGGAAGCUCUGAGCAGCUGGCUUGGCUCCGAGGUAUUUUUAGCUACAGAUCCAGCCCCCCUCCAUCACCACAACAGUCGAGUCCAAAUCAAACGCGCUCCAGGCAGGUGGGGCUGGGGUUCUGCCAGCCUCCUGGCCAGCAGGGGUGGGUGGGCAGACUGGGGCCAGUAUCAGCUGUUCUGCCUGGACCCAGGCCGGGCUGGGAAGGCACACUUGUGCUUAUUUCCCGCCUCCACUUCUGUGCAAGCUUGUGCUGUCAUAAGCAGAGAUCACAGCCCCAUUUCUUGGAUGGAGAAAGUGGACACUGAGGUCUGAGGCUUUUGAGGACAGUCAGGAGCCCUCCUAUGGGCUCCAGUGAUGCACUCACCAGCUUCUGGUCCUCUUCUUCCACCUCUUAGAGUGCCUUGGCUCCCUCCUGUCGUCCUGGGGAACCUCGGCCCCAGCCCUGCCUCCCCAGCCAGUCACAGCUCCUCCCUGGUCACCCUGAGGGAGCUCAGGGCCCGGCUGGUAGCUGGGUUGCUCUGCUUCUGUCCCCCACUCCUGUGGAGCCUGGCAGGCAACUCCAUGAUCUGACCCCGGUUACCUUGACAGCCCUGCCUGGCCUCCCCUCUCAUGGCCCAGCCACCCCAGAACCUGAAGAGGUUUUCUAGCUGCCGUGCAUUUGCCAGGCUGGGUUACCCACCCUACUUUCCCUGCCUGCCCUCCAGUGCUGCCAGGCCUAGUGUGCCAGCCAGCGCUCAGCCUUCAGUAAAGGGUUCCCCUGCUUCCAACCUCCAUUGCACUGCUUCCCCUAAGACUGUGACCUCCUGGAAGGCUGGAGCACAACUGCCUCUCAAUAAACGUGUUGC